GGCUGAAGGAAGGCUGCUCAGGAGGAAGCACCUCCGGGUUCUAAGAUGGGCUUGCUUCUUCGACAGCGACUUCCCGUCAGUAGCUCUCCUCUGCAGCCUCUCUUCAGGGUGUCUCAGAGGGACAUGGAGGGAAUAAGAGAGAGGGGAAUGACGCCAGGCACCUUCACCCACAUCCUGGAGUGGCAGAUGGGGGUUACCAGUCACUUUGAUGCCAAAAUCAUAUUGGAUAACAGGUGCAGACCUUCACGGGCGCAAACUCGCCUCCCAUUCCCACCCCAGAAGGCCGAGUGGUAUGCAGGGAAGGGCUGCACAGGAACCUCUCCAGGACGUCCUAGGGUUAUCCACCUCCUCUGUCCUCACGACCUGCCCAAAGGCCACUGUUGAAGAGAGCCUUCCCUAAAAGAAGGCUACCCUCAGAGACCCUAGAUG
ensembl:lncRNA